GAGGGUCUAAAAGUCUCCCUCUCCUCUUCGUCACUCUCGAUGCUCCCCUCUUCUUCUCUCCGUUCUCUCCGACCUACGACGAGCUCUCCACGCCGGAUUCCGACCCUUGCACGACGUAUCGGGUCGGGUCCUAUCAUACUGUCUCUACCCGCAACCCACAGUGCCCCCACGCUAAAGCUCAAUCCGUCCAUGGAAAAUUCAGAUGCGGUCCUUCACCGUGAGUCACAAUCUCCUUCCCCAAUCCAGAUGGAUAGGAACCUAGGGUUUCGUCGAGAUGCGGAACUAGGGUUUCUCUCUCUCCUCUUCGUCGUGUCUUUGGCAAUGGGAUCAUUUAUCUCAGUGGCACUUGUCUCUCUUCCUGCUCUAAAUGCAUUUAGAAAGUUAGCUAUUUCUAUGGACAAACUGAAAAAGGUAGUUUCAGAAGAAGUACCUGGAACUUUAUCUUCGUUAAAGCUUUCGAGCUUGGAGAUUAAUGAUUUGACCAGCCAGCUUAAAUACCUGAGGCAAAGAAUAUCUGGAAGUCAGUCUGGAGAGAAAAUUCGAGCAAGUAAACGAAGAUCUCAUGGAGGAAGAAUUUGAUCUCAUUAUAAACUGACCUAUAUAUUUAGGUGUCUACUAUAUGAGGCACUUACCUUCAUAACUAGCCAUAGCAGAAAUCCAGCUUCUAGAUGAUGAUCAAUGUCAAUCUUCCUGAAUGUUUCUUCAUUUGUGCAUUGUUAUCUUGAGCUUGUCCAUUAUUCACAUCAUACUAUGGCUAAGGGUAACCUUUCAAAAUUCUCCUUGAUUAAGGAAGAGCUCCAAAGUAGAGGCUUCAGGACCUGCAUUUACCUCCAGUGGACAACAUAAAUCAAGGAGCUGCACAUAGGCCUUCUGAGUGAAACUUUGAUAAGUCUUAUUACCGUCAGAGACGGAAAAAUCUUCUUUGAAAAAUAAACUUCCUGUAAUAGUAAAAAAAAUUUCACUUAGGGGUCUUUCUGCAACAAUAGAACUAGAGGCGGUCUAUCCAUAAUUGGGUGAUAGUACAGAGGGAUUUAUCUGAGAGUAAAUGCAUAGUAGUGUUAUUGAGGGGCUUAUCUAAGAAUAAAUGCAUAGUAGAUAUAUCGUUACUUUGCAGUGAGUGAAUGAAUGAAAUAGCUGAACAUCAUUCUCUCAAGUACAAAUAAAGAUAAUACCAUUGCACUUCAAGGGGCCAAUAUGUAUUAAGAUUGAAACUUUAUACAUGAGUGUAUGCUGUUUAAAUGUUCUCACUCAAAAAAAAAAAAAAAAAA